rnacentral:lncRNA from 1 species
CUCAUGGAUAAAACCAGUAGAAGCCACCACCUAUGGUCCCAGCUGCUCGGGAGGCAGCGGUGGGAAGAUCGCUCGAGCCCAGGAGGUGGAGGCUGCAGAGAGCCAAGGCCCAAGAGCUCCCAGCUCCCACUCCCAGCAGCAGGCACUGCGAGCAAGACUGGCCGCCGGAUUCCAGCGAGGAGGGGCUCCCGCGGCCCCGCUCCCCCUGCUCUGAUGGGAGAAGAGACGCCGCGGCCAGAGUCCUGCAGGCCCAGUGGAAGGUGUACAAGCACAAGAAAAAAAAGGCUGUUCUGGAUGAGAGCUCUCCUGUGCCCCGCGUUCCGAGCCCCAUCGCCCAGGCCACGGGCAGCCCUGUGCAGGAGGAGGCCAUCGUCAUCAUCCAGUCCGCUCUGCGGGCACACCUGGCCCGGGCCAGGCACAGUGCUACCGGUAAAAGAACCACCACCGCAGCUUCUACCAGGAGGAGAUCGGCUUCAGCCACACACGGGGACGCCUCCUCCCCACCCUUCCUCGCAGCUCUUCCUGACCCCUCUCCCUCAGGGCCACAGGCCUUGGCACCUCUACCUGGGGAUGACGUCAACUCCGAUGAUUCCGACGAUAUUGUCAUUGCACCGUCUCUGCCCACGAAGAACUUUCCAGUUUAGGUCCCCGUCACUGUCUCCACGCCGUGAUGGCAGCGCUGCCGAGGACAUAGGAACCACGACUGGAAAGAUAAUUUAUCGUGUUAGGAGAAGAACGAUGAUACCUACUUAACACC